rnacentral:piRNA from 1 species
UGCCAGUGGGCAGCUCCCAUGAUCACUUAA